CUGAUCAUAUCUCAGUUGGUAAAGAAUCUGCGUGCAAAGCGGGAAACCCAGGUUUGAUUCCUGGGUCAGG
rnacentral:tRNA from 1 species